GACGAACGCUAGCGGCAGGCCUAACACAUGCAAGUCGAGGGGCAGCAUAAAAUAAACUUGUUUAUUUGGUGGCGACCGGCGCACGGGUGCGUAACGCGUAUGCAACCUACCUUACACAGGGGGAUAGCCCGGAGAAAUUCGGAUUAAUACCCCAUAGCACUAUCGGAUGGCAUCAUUUGAUAUUUAAAGCUUUGGCGGUGUAAGAUGGGCAUGCGUCCUAUUAGCUAGUUGGUGAGGUAACGGCUCACCAAGGCUACGAUAGGUAGGGGGCCUGAGAGGGUGGUCCCCCACACUGGUACUGAGACACGGACCAGACUCCUACGGGAGGCAGCAGUGAGGAAUAUUGGUCAAUGGGCGCAAGCCUGAACCAGCCAUGCCGCGUGAAGGAUGAAGGUUCUAUGGAUUGUAAACUUCUUUUAUUUGGGAAUAAACCCCUUUACGUGUAGAGGGCUGAAGGUACCAAAUGAAUAAGCACCGGCUAACUCCGUGCCAGCAGCCGCAGUAAAAC
rnacentral:rRNA from 1 species